rnacentral:rRNA from 1 species
AUUGAACGCUGGCGGCAUGCCUUACACAUGCAAGUCGAACGGCAGCACGGACUUCGGUCUGGUGGCGAGUGGCGAACGGGUGAGUAAUGUAUCGGAACGUGCCAUUGAGUGGGGGAUAACGUAGCGAAAGUUGCGCUAAUACCGCAUAUUCUGUGAGCAGGAAAGCAGGGGACCGCAAGGCCUUGCGCUCUUUGAGCGGCCGAUGUCAGAUUAGCUAGUUGGUGAGGUAAAGGCUUACCAAGGCGACGAUCUGUAGCGGGUCUGAGAGGAUGAUCCGCCACACUGGAACUGAGACACGGUCCAGACUCCUACGGGAGGCAGCAGUGGGGAAUUUUGGACAAUGGGGGCAACCCUGAUCCAGCCAUGCCGCGUGAGUGAAGAAGGCC